rnacentral:rRNA from 1 species
UACGUAGGGGGGCGAGCGUUGUCCGGAUUUAUUGGGCGUAAAGAGCUCGUAGGCGGUUUGGUAAGUCGGGUGUGAAAUCUCCACGCUCAACGUGGAGGGGCCACUCGAUACUGCCAUGACUCGAGUCCGGUAGAGGAGUGUGGAAUUCCCGGUGUAGCGGUGAAAUGCGCAGAUAUCAGGAGGAACACCGGUGGCGAAGGCGGGUCUCUGGGCCGAUACUGACGCUGAGGAGCGAAAGCGUGGGGAGCGAACAGG